AGUGUUUACUCUCCACUUAAAUCGAAGAGU
rfam:Brugmansia sp. tobamovirus complete virion genome